AGCUCUAAUUAUGACGUCGCCCAUUUUCCCCCCCUUAUUUGUCCCCCCCCCUCGAAACAGGAGGAGAUUUUUGAGCAUUCCUACUCUCACAGUGGCAGUCAUCUCCUGGGUCUCAAUUGAACGCGAAAAAUCAUGGCCCUAAGGUGAGGAUGUCUAGGGAAGAAGCAAGCCGACGACUGAGCCACCCACACUCCCCGAAGGCCCCUGUCUAGUCUACACCAGCUCUAGCUGAAGAUCAGGUCCAUCGCGCCGUCCUUGAUGGGUGGCAAACGGAAAGGGAACCUUCGACUAAAAGGGGAAGAAAAGUGCGGGGAGAGGCCGCUGGCACACCCGAGCUAUGGGCCCCUCAAUUUGCCACUGUGGAGCUCGGCAAAAACAAGUUUGACUCAGUGGACACUUCCAAGGACCACAGACCUGUGUUGCGCUGGGCAACGCGGUGAUGCUCCCCAAACGUUCCCCAUAGCGAUCAUGCUGCUGAACACAACGACAGAAUUCGGGGGCAAGCUCGUUAUGCUGGGGCCCAGGUUAGAAUUUUCAUGUACCAGAUUUCAUUCUGACUAGCGAAUCUGAUCCACACUGUUCUUUCUAAUCCAUCUCUUUUUUCUUUUCAGUUAUUUCAGGCGGGCGGUAUCUUCCUCACUCCGCCUAAAGCACGGGCGUGGUAGAUUGAAGAAGGCGAACCAAAAGGCGGGAAUAAACCUCGAAAAGGAGUUGAAACAGGACUCAGUCCGAGCUCGCGAUGCACGUCGGCAGCGAGAUCGCGAUCCGUCAGCGGAAAACCACGCACAGCAAGAAGCAUCCGACUUGAGGCGGUUCGCUUGUGGCGAAGUGUACAAAAGCUGUUCGACGACGCUUCGAGCGGGCUGGGGACGGUUUAUGAAAGACAGCUAGCCGAGCUCCGCCCCGGCAUUUCAAGGGGGAAUGGAUUGCGGUUUUGAAAAGAGCUUCAGAUCCCACUUGACCAUCCCGCGUGGUCAUCUCCUGCCCCUCCAGUCCAACUACCGCCUCUCCGGAGCGGUAUUCACCAAUCAACCUGCCCGACUUCAACUGAAGAGGAAUAUGCGACCCUUCCUGCUAACGAGAGGGAAUACUCAACACUAUGGCAGAGAAGGCUCAAGCAGGGAUCGCGGAGGGAGACUGUUGAUAAGGACAGUUGGGGAGGCAGAGGGACGGACCGAUGUCUUAGAAGCCGAGGUGAAACCUCAUUAGGAACAAUUCCUUUGAUUGAAUCUUCUGUUGAUAUCGAAUAUUAAUCUUGUUGACUUGUAAAAUUUUUGAACAGUUAUUCACUUGCAUUUCGGGCUGACUGUUUUUACCAAUCCUUCGUGCUUUUGAUCUCGGUUUGUGACUUUAGCUCUUGUAAGAACGAUUUCCUCGAGUCUUUGAAAAUGCUGACUUCAUCUCGACAGGGUUCAUAAGGAUGCUAGCAUUACCGCGCGUGAAUUGCGCUGGACCUCACACAUGUUAACAACAAUACAUAAAAACAGGCUCGGUGGGUUCACUGAAACGUCAUGGUCCACGUUCAUGCCCCUAUUUCGACAAACGUACGUCCGUUUGAACCGACUCUUAAGUGCAUCGUCUUCCCGGUUAGUUUUUAAACGUCGCACUAAAAUUCGUUCUAAAUUAACUUUUUCGCCUUUAUUGGCAUCGUUUCGUUGCCUUCGAUGCCUUUCAAUAGUGAUGGCCCCGGACUUUUGAUGAACACAAUCCACCAUCAUUCGAACAAUCUUUUCUGAGAGCAAUCAUCUGUUCACAAAAAAUGCCUUAUCUUCUAGUCUUCCUGGGCUGUCUGUACUUGAAAAAUCCCCCUGUAAAACUCUAAGGGGGUCAAGAUGAUUUUUCUCCUAGACGUGGGUGGAUUGGCAAGCACUUCCGUCUCAUCACUUCGUUCUCAACGCUCUGUAUCGCAGCUUAUGCUUCCCAAAAGCUCUGUACCUUUUGAGCUUCAGCCCAUAAUAUUCGGCCGGCUGUGGUUCUGUUUUGAGUUGGCCUCCUCCGUCCCCUCUCACUUCCGCUGAGUAUCGGAGUCUUGUGGAGUCAUGCUUAUUUUCGAGGCACUAUCCCAAGACUUAAAGAAUCAUUUGAAGGCCCGUUUGCUCUCUUGGUAGUACUCGAUGACCGGGGUUUCCAUUAUCAUUCAGAAUGGAAGCUAGCUCGGUUAACAUGUUGCUGUGAAGACAAGUCUGACGUGGGACUCUCAACCUUUUCUUCAAGCGAAGUCCGUCUUUUACCUUGUAAUUAGAGUUGUAGUGUGUAUUCGACAGACUUGUAUCUGAACGUUUCCUUGGGUAUAUGGAAUAAAAAUGCUGAUUACUUCUCAUUUUGUUGCCACUGAAUGUUUGCAAAGUCCGUCUUCAACCUUCUAGCUUUCUUAAGUUAAAUAGAUGAAAACUAAAACAAGGGCAAUCCGGGAGCUCGGUUGAAAGUUAUCGGACAAGCUCGGCUAACCUCUUCUCGCGGUUUGAUCAAGUUAACUUGUAAAAAUUAUCGAACAAACAUAACUUGAAAAAUUAUCGGACAAGCUCGGAGGUGAUCAGCUCGGCUAGCUUCCCUCAGAUUUUACAAGUGACUACAUGACAAAGCGAUAUGAAGGCAGUUAGUCCGGUGCUUUUCGGAAGCUCGGCUACCCUUCUCGCGAUUGAUCAAGUUAAACUUGGUAAAAAUUACCGAACAAGCAUUACAACUUAAAAAAAUGGAUCGGACAAGGCGAAGCGUGCUCCAAAGCCGGCUAGAUUUCCCUCAGAUUUUUACCAAGUGAUACAUGAUCAAAGCUAAUGAAGGCAGUUCGGUGCUUUUCGGAAGCUCGGCUAACCCCUUUCGCGAUUUGAUCAAGUUAAACUUGUAAAAAAUAUCGAAACAAGCUCGGAGCGUGGUUAGCUCGGCUAGCUUUCCCCUCAGAUUUUCCAAGUGCUACUUGAUCAAAGGCGAAUGAAAGGCAAAUUCAGUGCCGUUUUUCGAAGCUGGCAACCCCUUCUCGCGAUUUGAUCAGUAAACUGUAAAAAUUAUCGAACAAGCACUACUUGUAAAAAUUAUCGGACAAGCUCGGAGCGUGAUCAAGCUCGGCUAGCUUUCCCCUCAGAUUUUACAAGGAUGCUACAUGAUCAAAGAGAAUGAAGGCAGUUCGGUGCUUUUCGAAGCCGGAUAAACCCCUUCUCGCCGAUUUUUGAUCAAGUAAACUUGUAAAAAUUAUGGACAAGAUCGGAGCGUGAUUAAGCUCGGCUAGCUUUCCCCUUAGAUUUUACCAAGUGCUACUUGCUCAAAGCGAAUGAAGGCAAUCGGUGCUUUUUCGAAAAGCUCGCUAAACCCCUCUCGCGAUUUGGAUCACGUAAAUUUGUAAAAAUUAUCGGAAAAGCUCGGGAGCGUGUAAGCUCGACUAGCUUUCCCCUUAGAUGUUACCAAGUGCGGGGGGGGGGGGGGAUAACUUGAUCAAAACGAAUGAAGCAGGGUCGAGGCGGGGGGGGUUUUCGAGCUGGCUAACCCCUUCUCGCGAUUGGAUCAAGUUAACUUGUAAAGAUUAUUAGAAUAACGCUGUAAUAUACUUACGUGAAAGAAUAAUUGAAAGAUGCAAUGCUUUUAUUACAUAUGAUGAAUCCAGUGCGGCAUAAAUUUAGUAGAAGUACUUCGCAGAUUGCGGAUGUCAAGGUCCGGGGUUUCUGUUCCUUCUGCAUCUCAGAUGUAGAACUCGUACGGUAAGUUUGAUAUUUUGUAAGGCCCCUUCCAGUUCGGUGCAAGCUGACCGUCUGUGGAUCUUGGUGUUUCAACGACUUUCCUGAGACGAGACUUCCCACUUCAAACUCUAUCCGUUGAACCUUUGGUUGAAGGGAUUUAGCCAAUUGCUUUUGAUAGUCGGCCAUUCUGAUGCGUGCAUUCUCUCUCCUUUCCUCAGCCAAGUCUAGAUCUCGGGCCAGGACCUGUGGUUGUUAGAUGUGUUGUAAGCCUCUGUCCGAAUGGUGGGCAGGACCGACCUACAGUGGAUUACGGCUUCCGAAUCCGAAAGCAGUGAGUAUGGUGUCUCAUUCGUCGCCUUCCGUGGUGUGGUCGAUAACCCAUAACACGUUUGCCAAUCUCAACCCAUCGUCCUUGGCCUUCUUAGUCGUUUUUUUGAUUCCGUUAAUGAUAGUCUGAUUUGUGGCCUCGGCUUGGCCAUUGCACUGCGGGUAGCUCGGCCGUUGAGUUGUGAAUUCAAUCUUAGUUGCUCUAACAGAACCCCUGACUUGCUUCCGACAAAAUGGGUUAUCGAUUUAUCCGACACGAAGGCCGCGGAAUGCCAAACUGGGAAGGAUGUUUAUCGCAGAUAAUCUAAUCACGUUGUCUCUCUGAUUUGUGUCAGCGGCUCAGCUUUCUACCCAGUAGUUGAAGUAAACGGUCGCCACAAGGUAAGACCUCUUGUGCCAGGAGCUCUAGGUAGGACACUACAAUAUCCAUUCCCCAUGGGCGAAGGGGCCAAGGACUAGUAAGCGGGGACAAGUCCUUGCGGGUUGAUGGUAUCAGGGGUGAUGAAAAAGAGUUGACACUUGUUGCACGCUACGCCCAUAUACCUGAGCGUCCUUCUGCAUGUAAGGCACCAUAACCCCUGUGCAAAGACUCUUGUGUGCCAAGCGAUCUUCCCCCAUAGUUGUAACGCAAAUUCCCUCAUGGAUGUCAUAAAGUACGUCUCGACGAGGCUGGAUGAAUACACAGCAAGAGGGACCUUGAUAGACCUUUGUACAAGUCUCCUGUGGGGAGAAUCCAGACCGUGCAGCCUUUGAUCCUGAUCUUGUGUGGACUCCUUUCUGUCAUUCUGGCAGCUGGUCGUCCGUAAUAGUUCACGAUAGAGUCCAUCCAGCUCGGUCGGAGUAGUUAGUCAGUUGCGUUGGUUGACAAGAAUGGAUGAUUGCGUUUCUUCUAUACUGGGGACCGAGACGACGUGACUGCUACAGUUCUGCCCGUGGUCUCAUUCAAAAAGUGGAUCUAAGAACACGCAUCUGCAUGCACGUUGAAUUCCUCCGACCUGCUCCGAUUGAACCGCUCGAAACUGACUGAGAAGGUUUUUUGCCAACUGCAAAUUAUUUCGCCCAUUUUAACCCUCGAGCUUCAAAUUUGUCGGGUCACCUGAUAUGACUAGUUUUGAAUCGCUUGUGUUUACGCACAGCUCGGCACCCAAACUAUGCGCGGACCUUAACCUGCGAUUAGAGUUCAACUCGGCUUCAUUGUUCGUCGCUAGGAAAUUAAAUCGGAGGCACUGUCGAAGACCGGCCUUCAGGACUCUUUCAAACACACACCCGUGCCUACUCCUUGGCGAUUUCUGGCUCCGUCGACGUUUACUUCUGCCAUGCCACAGAAGGCUCUACCUGAGGUGGUUUUUAAAGUAAACUUUGCUCCCUCAAGUAGUUCCUUAGUUCAGCGGGGUCUAUUUCUCUGGUAGCUAUGGAUUGACCUCGGUAUUCUCUCCUGUAGUUGUGAGCCGGACGGUGCAUUUGUGAGUUCUUCCCCUUCUCCAAGGUUUGGAUUGGAUCGGCCCUGGGAUUUCUGCCUGGGGGAAACUCUGCCACGAGCUGCCAUACCUGCCCUUGAUACCGCCCUUGGUAGAAGCUUUGUCCAAACCUGUCCCAAGUUCUAGGGACAUUAGAGAGUCGUCCCGUAGGUUGUUCAUCAAUAUGGCCUUGAGCGGGAACCGGUUGUACACCGGAGGGGUUUGCUUGAAAAUAGUGCAUGAGACUGGCGUUGAGGUCACCACUAGGGCCAGAACAAGCUUUCCAGUGGCAAUAUCGUGUCUAACAAUCAGUCAGUGUUUUGCUCACAAAUAAAUCGGGCGCGGCUCGUUGACCACCUCUCUUAACAAAACCGAGCUCACCGCGUGUUCGGACAUAGCAAGAUAAACGUGGAGCAGCUCUCCUUCAUCCGAGGUGGAUAGAAGUGGCGGUUUUGUAAGAUAUUUUUUGAAUUAUUGGAGCCGCCACCUCGGACUCCUCAUCCAACGAGACAUUAGUAGUUUUGGCGCAAGAGCUGAAAAAUGGGCGACAUUUGUCAGAAACUACUGAUAAAACGAUGAGUGCUGACUGCCAUCUGGGGAGUUUCUGACUUCUUGCAUUCCUGGGCUGUCUAUCUGGUCUAUGGCAGCAAUCUAUUCUGGGUCUGCUUCAAUUCCUCGCCAGUGACUAGAUGCCCAAGGAAUUUCCACGAGCCCACACUAAGGCACACUUCGCCGGCAUUGAGUUUGAAGCUUGGUUGCGGAGGAUGCGAAUAUCUCGACAAGUCCCUGAGGUGAUCCGAAGUCUUCUUGCUUUUCACCACCAUUGUUCAUCGAUGAUAGGCAUUCAUGGUCUUCCCCAAGACGUGAUUGACAUCUUGUACCAUUCUUUGGUAUUGGCCCCGCAUUCUUGAGCCCAAAAGGCAGACUUUAUAGCAAAAUACUCCCCUGGGGGUCAUGAAUGCAGUCUUCUCUUGAUGAUACGUCCGUGCAGAGCAAUUUGAUGAAUCCUCUGUACGCGUUGAGGAAACUCAUUCGGGGCAUGUCCCGAGGUGCUGGAUUGUCAAACCACUGAUUAUCUUUGCAGUGGGAAACAGUCUUUGGGUCGCCCUCCUUGGCACUCUAUUGGCUGGCUCCUUCUCUCCUGAUUCAUCUUGGAAGAUGUAUACUGUCUGCCGGACCGGUCGUCCAUGAGCCGGUGUCAACCCAAAAUCUGAGCCAUUUGCGUCGCUGUGCUUGCAGUCGUCCUAUAUGUGACAUGCCGUUGUCUCUUGCGCCGAGGGAUAAACCGACCCAGGCUUCUGCUUUGAGGUGGGGCCUGCCGCCCUCUACGCAUCAGCCCAAUAGUUUACCCCUCUGUCCCCAGGCGUUAGGGACAUGUGGGGUUCUCCCCGGGGGUUCGACGACUGCCGGAAUAGUCUUCUCCCUCAGAAGUCAUGGGUGACGUCCUAGCAGGUAUCAACAGCCGAUUUCCCACAGACGGCGCCAAUUGUGGGGGUGAGUUUGCAAUGUGAAAAUCAGAAGUGGACACCAGCGAGUUUAUCCUAUCCUUUAGCUUCCCCAGGAAUGCUCCAAACUUGACGUUUUCCUCGUAUAUCUGCACACUAACAACAGUAAGUACGGCCGCCGGAGCUGUUUCCGGGAAACGGCUCUCCGACGGUCAAGUUAGAUGACCUGACAGCUCAACUCCGUAACAAUGAGUUUCUCACAUAACCAGAGAAGAAGGAGCCCUCUCCUAUUUUCCCAGAAGAAGAAGAAGAAGAAUCCGGACCCCUUACCUCUACAGUGACUUCCGCUUAUAUAGUUUUACUUGGCGCAUGCUCUGACGCGCCAACGGAUCUCUUGACCACUGGGUCGUUUACCCACUCUUCAUCCCUGCAGAGGAGUUGGUUAUCCUUCCUGCUAUCAUGGUUUUCCUCGCCUGGAUUUGGGCUGAGCAUCAUGCCCGUAUCGUACAAGUAUUACUAUGUCCCGUGUCAUCGUCGGGAUUCCCGCCAAACUCUGUGUAUCAACCGAGCUCUGGUGUUACUGUUGUUGGCGUGACCGUCGAA
rnacentral:lncRNA from 1 species